rnacentral:lncRNA from 1 species
GACGUCAGUCGCCUCACUGAGUGCCAGAGCCUUCCAAGAGAGCCACUGGGCACUGCCCAGCUGUACCAGUGCCUCCUGGGCCUCAACCCAGUACCCCUCACUUAGAAGGACAAGCUGAAGACUGGGGCAGCCCUAGUCAGAGGCCUGCAGCCAGCUCUGGCUGUGUCUUGGUCUGCUCUGAAAAGGGACAGGGACACAAAGGGUGGGGCCACAGGGAUCACAGGGAGGCAGAACAUCCAAUCGCUGUGUGUGGGAACCAGAAGGACUCUUCAUUUGGCCAAUUUAAUCUAGGGGAACAUUGAGACCCAGAGAGGGGCCUUUGAACUUGCCAUCUUCCUGCCUCAGCCUCCCAAAUGUUGGGAUUACAGGCAUGCACCACCAUACUUGGCAGAGUUUAAAGAGAGAAGAGGAAAAGAAUAGGGAAUGUGAAUAAUGAGCCUUCUCACUGUGUGUGUGGAUUCAGUCACCGAACACUGUGCUUUGCCUUGUGAGGCACCCGUGGUCUUCUCCAGCUACUGGAAAACAUCAUUAGCCAGAGAAUUGUUCGUUAAAUUAUAUCAUUUGGC